rnacentral:rRNA from 1 species
AUUGAACGCUGGCGGCAGGCCUAACACAUGCAAGUCGAACGAGUGGCGGACGGGUGAGUAAUGUCUGGGAAACUGCCUGAUGGAGGGGGAUAACUACUGGAAUCGGUAGCUAAUACCGCAUACCAUCGGAUGUGCCCAGAUGGGAUUAGCUAGUAGGUGGGGUAAAGGCUCACCUAGGCGACGAUCCCUAGCUGGUCUGAGAGGAUGACCAGCCACACUGGAACUGAGACACGGUCCAGACGCCUACGGGAGGCAGCAGGGGGGAAUAUUGGACAAGGGGCGCAAGCCUGAUGCAGCCAUGCCGCGUGUAUGAAGAAGGCCUUCGGGUUGUAAAGUACUUUAAGUGGGGAGGCGUUACCCACAGAAGAAGCACCGGCUAACUCCGUGCCAGCAGCCGCGGUAAUUC